CCCUUAGAUGUUCUGGGCCGCACCCGCGCUACACUGAAGGAGGCAGCGUGUACUCCUGGAUCGAAAGAUUUGGGUAACCCGCGAAUCUCCUUCGUGCUAGGGAUUGAGGUUUGCAAUUAUCCUUCAUGAACGAGGAAUUCCCAGUAAGUGCAAGUCAUAAGCUUGCGCUGACUACGUCCCUGCCCUUUGUACACACCGCCCGUCGCUACUACCGAUUGAAUGAUUUAGUGAGGACUUCGGACUGGGACCGAUGCGGCUUUCGGGCUGCGUCGGUAUUCUGGAAAGAUGUCCAAACUGUAUCAUUUAGAGGAAGUAAAANUCGUAACA
rnacentral:rRNA from 1 species